GGGCGGUAGCUGCGAAGACUGGAGCCGCGUGCAUCCCCCGCCCUACCCCCCGGGGCUAGUAGCGUGGCCUUCGUGGACCCCUUCAUUUCAAGAAGUCUCCCAGGCGUAAGAAUAUCCAUCAGGGCGAGUAGAACCUCGGCCGCGCUGGCUGGAGGCCUCACAGGCGCAGUUGUCUUCGCGGCUAUGAGCUGCUGCCUGCUCCACCACACUCUUGGUACCCGCGCUGUAGGACUCAGCCCCCACUUAUUUCACCCCGACCACAGACACUCCUGAACUUUGGUUUUUCCUGCCCUGUUUUGCCUUCUUCACUGACCUUCCUUCGCGGCCUUGGGUCAGUUCCUAAGACAGUUUGACCUUUCCCAUGGCUUCGCCCUCUUUGCAGACAUAAUAGUCUCUCUAAACCUAGCUUUCCACUACACUCCGUGCCCAGACAACCCCAUUACCUGCUUCACAUACCCUCAACACAGCCGUCUCACCUGUCCUCCAUGUCUCCUUGUGGUCUUCACGUCUCAGAACCUGACCCUGAACUUCUCCAAGUUGCUGAGGCCCCAUGCCUUUCAGAUAGCCUUGCUUCCUUCACCCUGUCUCAUCCCCAGCCGUCCCCUGAACAGCAGUAUGAAAACUGAGGACAUGGGUGACCAUGGUGGAGCCCGUCUGACAGACAUUCAGCCAGGCAGUGUGGAACAACUUACUGCAUGUCAGAGCUUUUCAAAACAAUAUAAACACAUUCAAAAGGAAUAAAACAGGACUGACUCAUUAAGACCAUCUAGGAUACUGCAAUCCAUUUGUGCACAAGGGUCAGCAAAAAGAGCACUAAGUAUACAGCAGAAGCCGGAGAUUUCCUCAAGAGAACUAGAAGUGUCCAGCUUAGGAAUGGCAUAUGGAGGUGAACGAUACUCUCAGAAACCCCUCUACCUUUCUCAAGCCAGCAGGAGCUCUAGAAAAAUCUCAAUGCCUACCAAGCCACUGUGAUCCUAGGAUCCAGAUAAUUGAGUUUGGAGGUUCCCAAGGCAAUUUGCUUAUUCUCCUCACGAUCUGUGGCCUGAACUUCCAGCUUCAUCAACUGCUCCUCCAGUCUCUGCACAGCCUUCUUCUUUGACUCUACUACCCUAGAAGAAUGACAGUUAUUAAAAAACAAGGCUGACCUCUGGACAAAAGCACACUGCAAUUGUACUCUGACUCUUAGAAGUAGUAAACCCAUAAAAGGUCCAUGUAGAGAUUUCCAAAAGACCAAUCAGACAUCUUAGCUGAGGGACCAGGGCCUGUGAGCAAUGCUGCACAAACUUCUUCCUUUUAGCCAAACAACCCCUGACUUUACACAGUACCAGAUACAUACUUCUUGGUCUUUGCAUCCUUCAUGACUUUGGCAUCAGCUUUAGCACUUUUCAGGUCCCUCCGAGCAUCUGCAAGCUGAUCCUUCUUGGCAUCAAUCUAGGUGGGGAAGAAUAACAGUAAAGUCAAGAGAAAUAUGAACCAAAGACAAAACAGAAGGGCUCCAUCAAAGAUGGAGAAACCUGGAAAUUGCCUCCAUCAGGAGAGAAGUCUGAGGUGAAAAGGAAGUCUUGUGAAAUCCAUAUCCAUAAAGACAGGAAGUUCAUCCUUUUAAGCUGGAAUCCUUGAAGCACCACUGGAAAAUCUCAGUUCCUCUUGGGAUGCUGCUUACAGACAGCAGCAGAUAAUGCCAUGGAGCUAAAGUUCCAACUAGUGAGGUCAAGUGGCUGAGGGGCAGAACAACACCAUCCCUGUGGUUACCCUGCUCAAGAGAACCUCUCAGAGUAAAUAAUAUGCUUGACUCAAACAUUGGACUUCUGCUGAACCUAGAAUUUUUGUUAGAUACACAACCUAAGGUUGGAAACAGAGGCCACCACUGUAAAAGAAUCUAGUAUGUUUUACUAUGAGUGGCUUACUUCCAACAUCUAUGUUAUCCAAAUCCAAACUAAAGGAACUGAUUCUAUACACAAAACCAUCACAGAUGCCACUAGCCAGAUUCUUAGGCUAGAAAUACAGCAAACCACAAUCUUUUAACCAUUUCUG